UUAAUUCCUUCUGAAAUAACA
ensembl:piRNA 21ur-6793 ncRNA